UAUCCAAUCUGCUGUGUAGUCUGGCGAAUGACACCGCUUAGUCAACACGAUGAUGCUCGAGUGCGCUUGGAGCUCGGUGAGCUUAUACUUGCUGUACGCUGUUGGUUUGUACGCAACCAUUCUGUAUCUGUACGAAGCACUUGAAUCUCCUGUUUGCAUAGUUUGGAAUGUUGUGUUUCCAUCGCCAAGUCUCAAGGAACGAUAUGGACCGUGGGCUGUUAUAACAGGGUCAUCUGAUGGGAUUGGGAAGCAGUACGCUCUGAAUCUGGCUCGUGAAGGGAUGAACCUUGUGUUGAUAUCCAGGACCAAAUCCAAAUUAGAGAAAGUGGCGCAGGAAAUCCAGGGUGAAUGCAAUGUGGAGGUGAAGUUGAUUGACGUAGAUUUUUACGAUGGAGAUCAUGUGUAUGACAGAAUUCAGAAGGAAUUGAAAGGCUUGGACGUUGGAGUUCUUGUUAACAACGUGGGAUGCGUCCACAAGUUCCCCGCAACGGUAGAUGAAAUUUCCAUAUCAGAACUGCGACAGACUUUCACAGUGAACAUGUAUCCUGCGGUAAGGAUGGUCCAAAUGUUGCUCCCGGAAAUGAAACAGCGCCGUAGAGGUAUAGUGGUGAACGUAUCUUCCGCAAGUGGUCACUGUGCACUGCCCUACGCAACGAUGUACGCAGCCUCAAAAGCAUUCCUCGACUCGUUUAGCCGAGGAUUACAGGAGGAACUGCUAGGGAGUGGAGUUGAAUGCCAACUGGUUGGACCAAUGCUAGUGGAUACCAAUAUGAUCGCAGACAUUCGGCAAAACCUUUUCAUCAAACUGAUGAGCAUAGAUGUGGAAGCUUUUGGCAAAACGGCUGCCUGGUUGAUUGGCAAAACGAACUACACCACGGGUUGUUGCAAACAUGCGAUACAGGCUAUAGUGAUCACUAUUUUGCCACGAUGGAUAAUCACUAAAAUGCUUGGGAGCAUCGUACUUAAAAUGGGCAGAUAUAUGGAAAAGCAAUCGUAAAUAUUAAUUUUAGCUAUGCAAUGUUCUAAAGAAACUUUUCGUAUAUGUGGCAUUGAACUGGUGAUCAUUAAAUGGAAAAUCUACGAAAGACUGCAAACCGGAUGUAUCAUACGUUGAGAAAACGUAAGUUACAUGUUACGCUUGUAUAUCUGAAGACCUUUUCUGACGUCAAUAAAAAAGGUUUACAUCUAAACAGGCUAAACCAAAUAUGAGCCGCCGAAAUUCAAAAUAAACGGUUGUUAACAUUCA